rnacentral:rRNA from 1 species
AUUGAACGCUGGCGGCAGGCCUAACACAUGCAAGUCGAACGGUAACAGGAAGCAGCUUGCUGCUUAGCUGACGAGUGGCGGACGGGUGAGUAAUGUCUGGGAAACUGCCCGAUGGAGGGGGAUAACUACUGGAAACGGUAGCUAAUACCGCAUAACGUCGCAAGACCAAAGAGGGGGACCUUAGGGCCUCUUGCCAUCGGAUGUGCCCAGAUGGGAUUAGCUAGUAGGUGGGGUAACGGCUCACCUAGGCGACGAUCCCUAGCUGGUCUGAGAGGAUGACCAGCCACACUGGAACUGAGACACGGUCCAGACUCCUACGGGAGGCAGCAGUGGGGAAUAUUGCACAAUGGGCGCAAGCCUGAUGCAGCCAUGCCGCGUGUAUGAAGAAGGCCUUCGGGUUGUAAAGUACUUUCAGCGGGGAGGAAGGGAGUAAAGUUAAUACCUUUGCUCAUUGACGUUACCCGCAGAAGAAGCACCGGCUAACUCCGUG